rnacentral:rRNA from 1 species
GACGAACGCUGGCGGCGUGCUUAACACAUGCAAGUCGAACGGCAAGGCCCUGCUUUUGUGGGGUGCUCGAGUGGCGAACGGGUGAGUAACACGUGAGUAACCUGCCCUUGACUUUGGUAUAACUUCAGGAAACUGGUGCUAAUACCGGAUAGGAGCUCCUUCUGCAUGGUUGGGGUUGGAAAGUUUCGGCGGUUGGGGAUGGACUGGCGGCUUAUCAGCUUGUUUGUGGGGUAGUGGCUUACCAAGGCUUUGACGGGUAGGCGGCCUGAGAGGGUUACCGGGCACAUUGGGACUGAGAAACGGCCCAGACUCCUACGGGAGGCAGCAGGGGGGAAUAUUGCACAAUGGGCGGAAGACUGAGGCAGAAACGCCGCGUGCGGGAUGACAGCCUUAGGGUUGUAAACCGCUUUCGCCUGUGACGAAGCGUGAGUGACGGUAAUGGGUAAAGAAGCACCGGCUAACUACGUG